rnacentral:rRNA from 1 species
AUGCAAGUCGAGCGGAAACGAAGAGGUGCUUGCACCUCUGGCGUCGAGCGGCGGACGGGUGAGUAAUGCUUGGGAAUAUGCCUUAUGGUGGGGGACAACAGUUGGAAACGACUGCUAAUACCGCAUAAUGUCUACGGACCAAAGUGGGGGACCUUCGGGCCUCACGCCAUAAGAUUAGCCCAAGUGGGAUUAGCUAGUUGGUGAGGUAAUGGCUCACCAAGGCGACGAUCCCUAGCUGGUUUGAGAGGAUGAUCAGCCACACUGGGACUGAGACACGGCCCAGACUCCUACGGGAGGCAGCAGUGGGGAAUAUUGCACAAUGGGCGCAAGCCUGAUGCAGCCAUGCCGCGUGUGUGAAGAAGGCCUUCGGGUUGUAAAGCACUUUCAGUAAGGAGGAAAGGUUAAGUGUUAAUAGCACUUAGCUGUGACGUUACUUACAGAAGAAGCACCGGCUAACUCCGUGCCAGCAGCCGCGGUAAUACGGAGGGUGCGAGC